GACGAACGCUGGCGGCGUGCCUAAUACAUGCAAGUAGAACGCUGAAGGAGGAGCUUGCUUCUCUGGAUGAGUUGCGAACGGGUGAGUAACGCGUAGGUAACCUGCCUGGUAGCGGGGGAUAACUAUUGGAAACGAUAGCUAAUACCGCAUAAUAGCAGUUGUUGCAUGACAACUGUUUGAAAGGUGCAAUUGCACCACUACCAGAUGGACCUGCGUUGUAUUAGCUAGUUGGUGGGGUAACGGCUCACCAAGGCGACGAUACAUAGCCGACCUGAGAGGGUGAUAGGCCACACUGGGACUGAGACACGGCCCAGACUACUACGGGAGGCAGCAGUAGGGAAUCUUCGGCAAUGGACGGAAGUCUGACCGAGCAACGCAGCGUGAGUGAAGAAGGUUUUCGGAUCGUAAAGCUCUGUUGUAAGAGAAGAAAGAGUGUGAGAGUGGAAAGUUCACACUGUGACGGUAUCUUACCAGAAAGGGACGGCUAACUACGUG
rnacentral:rRNA from 1 species